UAUACAUAUAAAUAUAAUAUCUAUUUAAAAAUUUAAUAACCCAUUAAAAAUACAUAAAACACACUGACUGACUGACUGACUGACUCCCAUUCUUUGCAAAGCACCUUAGUUUUUCUUCCCUCGUUCCUUCCUUCCUUUCCCUCUCUUGUUGUUUCUUUCUUUGUCUAUUCAUUUCCCCUUCUAGCUUUCUUCCUUUUUAUUAGAAAAUUCUGGAGUAAGGGGAUGCUUUUGAAUGGGAGUGGGCUGCACUCCUCCACUAGAGCAGUGGGACACAAUGCUUAGAAUAAACUUCCUUCCUUCCUUCCUCUUUUCUUUUCUUUUCGUUUCUUUUCUUUCUUUCCAGCAUCAGGGCUCCAUUACACACAUUUGCACAUAACAUAUAUUUAGAUUCCUACACUGAAAGGAUUACCAGUACCUACCUAAUCACUAGGAUACCAAAUGCUGAAGAGUGAGUUGUUGUUGUUGUUCUUGAAAAAAUCUUCAAAUGCCAUUUCUCAACACCAGAAUUCUAAUGCAUCCAGACUGCCCCCCCACCCCACAAACAGAACAAGAGGUAACAUUCAGCAAGUGAUUCAUUAUGAAUUAUUCUUUUAGCUUUAAUGGGCAUGCUAGUUUGUUUUUCAUGGCCUGUUAACAUUCAUCUCCUCUGGACUGUUCAUGAAAGUGAACUCAUGACUUUUAAAACCAUUUGGGCUGGACUCAGACAAACAUUCAUUUAAUCUUCUGACAGGCCAUUUUUCUAAGGGUGUCUAAUUGCUAUGGCUUUCUGACAGUCAAAGACUGAGGAGGGUCAGGCACUUGCUGGCAUUCUCUAGCAGUUUGUGUUCCCAAAGCAGGCAGUUAAAAGAUGAAUACCAUUCCUCACCUAUGUUGGAAGAAUUUGCUCAUAUGGAAAAAUACAUAGAGAAGUGACUGCUGAACUUCGGAUGGUCCAGCUGCCCAAGUUACGUUGCUGCUUCUUGGACCAUCUGUCUAGAUCGCCUUCCUUGGCUUAUAUUCUAUUUUUGUCAUCUGUAAUUGACUGAUCAGUGGCAGUAAAGCUGGAUCCCAAGGCUUAAAACCUUACAGCUUUGUCCCGGUGGGCUGAUUUUAAAAGCCAAGAUUCUAUCCCAGAAUCCAAAUCUGGUCGUGAUGGUGUUUGGCUGAGAUGGGCAGACCAGGAGCUGGAGCUGCAGCACAAGUUUUUCUAAUUCAUAGUUACCCUGAUUUUCAGCCAAGAUUGGCUUACAAGGCAGCUUACAAUCAAAUGCACAAAAAGGUGCAAAUGUGGGAAUAUAUGUGUGUGUGUGUGUGUGUGUGUGUGUGUGUGUGUGUGUGUGUGUGUGUGUGUAUAUGGCAGAGUCUUCUGGUUCUUGAUGACAUAGUCUAGCCUGUUCCCUUCAGAGGAUGGAGGCAGGAAGACCAGUACCUUUAUUGGGAGAUGGUAAAGAUGCCAACCCACAGAAGCAGCCCCUCCAUUGAACUUUAUGGGGAAAUGUGCAAAUAAUUGUAAAUAAGUGAUAUUAAUAUCCCAGGUGCUUCUGGAUUCUGCCCCUCUACCCACAUAACAAUAUGCUGCAUUCCACUAAUAGUUCUGUAUAAUUAAGAUUUUGAAAGAAAUGAAAACAUCCUGUUAAUUCAUUUCAACUCUAAUCCUAGAACAGGACUUUUCAGGUUUUUGUUUUUUGUUUCGGCAAGUACCACUUUUCCAAGUAGCACCUUUGUGGUUAGUACCACUGCCACCAGAGAUGGCUGCUGUGCAUAGAAGUGUGCAGCUUGCCACACAAUUCUCCCUGUAGCGAGGGAGAGGCUUCUACAGUUGUUGUUGUUGUUGCUGCCUCCUGAACUCUCCUCUGUUCUCAAGCUUCUUUCCUUCCUUGCCCACCUGUACCCCUUUGGAAGGGUCAGGGCCACAGUAACCCAUAGCUUGCUGCCAGUAUUGGGGGUUGUUACUUUUACCCCCUGCAGGUAAACAGCAGAGCACUAAGGAAGAGAGCACACACGCAAGUUACAGAGUAGGUUGCAGAGGGUGGUUUAGUUGUCGCAGCUAUUUAGAGAAGACACAUGGAGAUUCUUGUAGAACUGAAUACUAAGUAUCCUGCUGUGAUGCCCUCAGUGGGUUCUUUGCGGAUAAAAUCUCCUGUAUUCGGGCCGACUUGGAUUCCACUUUUUCUGCAGAGUCUAUGGAGGAGGUGUCCAGCAAUCCUUCUUGAAGUGUUAGGUUGGAUCAGUUCCAAUCUGUGAUUCCUGAGGAUGUGGACAAGCUGCUUUGAGUGGUGCAGUCCACCAUUUGUUCUCUGGACCCUUGCCCAACUUGGCUGCUUCGAUCUAGCAGGGAGAUUAUUCGAGGAGGCCUUCUGAAUAUCAUAAAUGAAUUGCUGAGGGACAGUAAAGUGCCUCCAUGCUUGCAGGAGGCGAUAAUUAGACCUUUUCUUAAGAAGCCUUCCCUGGAUCCCUCGGCGAUGGAUAGUUAUAGGCCAAUCUCUAAUCUCCCUUGGUUGGGCAAGGUGAUAGAGAGGGUGGUGGCUGACCAGCUCCAGGCGGUUUUGGAGGAAACUGAUUAUCUAGAACCAUUUCCAACUGGCUUUAGAGCGGGCUAUAGGAUUGAGUCAGCCUUGGUCGGCCUGAUGGAUGACCUAUACUGGGGAAGCGACAGAGGGACUGUGACUCUGUUGGUUCUCUUGGAUCUCUCAGCGGCGUUCAAUACCAUUGACCAUGGUAUCCUUCUGGGUUGAUUGGAAGAGUUGGGGAUAGGAGGCACUGCUCUGCAGUAGUUCCGCUCCUAUCUCUCGAGUAGAUUCCAGAUGGUGGAGCUUGGUAACAGUUGCUCUUCAAAACUGGAGCUGCUAUAUGGAGUCCCUCAGGGCUCCAUUCUGUAACCAAUGCUUUUCAAUAUCUACAUGAAUCCGCUGGGUGAGGUCAUCAGGAGAUUUGGUGCUGGGUGUCAUCAGAAUGCUGAUGACACCCAAAUCUACUACUCUGUUUCAUCUGCUUCAGCAGGAAAUGGCGUUAAUUCCCUAAAUGCCUGCCUGCAGGCAGUAAUGGGCUGGAUGAGGGAUAACAAAUUGAAGCUGAAUCCAAGCAAGAUGGAGGUGCUCAUUGUAGGGGCUCAGAAUCUGAGGGAUGAGUUAGAUCUCCCUGUGCUGGUUGGUGUUACACUCCCCCGGAAGGAACAGGUGUGCAGCUUGGAGGUACUCCUGGAUUCAGACUUCACCCUGGUAUCUCAGGUGGAGGCUGUGGCCAGGAGUGCUUUUUAUCAGCUUAGGCUGCUCCGACAGCUGCGUCCAUUCCUUGAGGAGGAUGACCUCAGAACAGUGGUGCACCAGCUGGUAACCUCCAGGCUUGACUACUGUAAUGCACUCUAUGUGGGGCUGCCUCUGUAUGUAGUUCGGAAACUUCAGUUAGUUCAAAAUGUGGCAACCAGGCUGGUCUCUGGGGCAACUCGGAGAGACCAUAUUACGUAUGUUCUAAAACAGCUGCAUUGGCUGCCGAUACGUUUCCAGGCAAAAUACAAAGUGCUGGUUAUUGUCAGGGUCUCGACCGGACUUGGCUGCACGCUGUCGACAUAUAGUGACGAAUGUUGUUUUUCAGCAGGGAGUAGCCGGCUGACCACGUGAUAUAUAGUGCAAGCCAUGAGAGCUCCCAGCUGGCAGGGAUUUAAGGCUUAUCAGCCCUCUGCAAUAGGCGUUUGCUUUUCCUAAGAGUCUCUAAUUGAUCCCUGCGUCUAGUGACACGCCGCUGUUGGGGGGUCAGCAGGGGGUUGGUUACAUAGCUCUUUUUCCAAUUGGUCUUUCACGAUUUCUGCUGCCUCAGGUUGUUGUGCCUGCUCAGAGUCAUUAUCCACAGCUGUUUCAUGAAUACUGACAGCCCCUCAGUAUUCUAUACUCUGCCCCUCAAGACACUCCUGCAUCGACUGGAAAGUUGACAGCUUCCCCUUCCUCCUCGCUGUCGGAGAUCGAGGGCAUGACAGUUAUUACCUUUAAAGCCCUGAACAGCUUAGGUUCAGGUUACCUUAGAGAGCACCUUCUUUGGUCUGAUCCUCACCACAUGCUAAGUUCAUCUGAGGAGGUCCGGCUCCAGUUGCCACCAGCUCGUCUUGUAGUGAUGCAGAGGUGGGCCUUCUCUGUAGCCGCUCCUAGAUUGUGGAAUGUGCUCCCUGCAGAAAUCCGUAAUUUGAAUUCUUUCUUGGCAUUUAGGAAAGCCCUAAAGACCUACCUGUUCGGCCUGACCUUCCGGGGUUUUUUAAUUGUUUUAAAGAGUUUUCAAUGUAUCGGGUUUUUAUAAGGUUUUGAAUAGUUUUAUUUUUAGCUGUUUUAUUGUAUUUUAAAAUUUUUAUUCCUGAUCGAUUGAUUUUAACUGUUUUAUCAUGUUUGUGAACUGCCCUGAGCUAUUCUGUAAGGGCAGUCUAAAAAUAUAAAUAAAUAAAUAAAUAAAUAAAUAAAUAAAUAAAUAUUGGUUAAGUACACUUGGAUAGGAAAGACCUAAUCCUAAUCUAAAGGACUACAUCAUGAAUAGGUAAGGAGAUAGAUAGAUGUUUCCAUCUACUCUCUAAGAGGAAAGGAAGGAUUGUAACUCAGCACAGAAAGUGCUGCAGAGUCAAUUCAGGGGUCAUAGAGUAGGGACAGAUAGGGAGACCCUUACUCACUGUCUCUACUCCCAAUGCCCCUAGUGGACGUUAGGAUAGUUGGUGCAAAAGGUCGAUGCCCUGGAACUCCAUUUCCAACUGCCCAUGCAGUGCCACACCAUCAUCUCCACUUCCAGCAGGGUUGGCCAGACAGAGCAGUGCUAUGUCACCAUGACAGUGAGGUGAAGGCCCACCAGCUCUACUGUGAAUGACCACCAGUGGUACUGACAGCACCGGUUGAGAAGCACUGCCCUAAAACUAUACAUAGAAGGAAGCCCUCUGGAUUCAGCAGAACUUGCCUCAACAUAUUCGCCACCAUCAACUGCAAAACUAGUUCUGAGCAUGUCCAGGAGACUUUGGUUUCCCACAAACAGCAGUUCCCCACAGUGCAUGGAAAGUUGCUUUUAAAAUUCAGGGAAGUUUUGAAAAUGAUUUCUGAUGUGGCACAGAAGACUACUAUUGCAGAGUGAAAACAUGAGACGUCUCAAAUUGGCAGACACAUACACACAAGUGUGUUCAGCCCAACUAAGAGCCCCCUCAGUGGCUUAGGUAUGCUUUUUUUUUUUAAAGCUUUCUUGAUUGUGACUAAUGUCUUACAGCAAGAGGUAAGAAAGAGAUUGUUAGGGCCAAACUAGAUGAGAUGCCUGGAGAUCUGUGAUCAGAUAUAUAGGGAUAUUUUUCCCUAGUUCAAAGCAGCAGAGUGGGAGAUCCAAUCAGAUCAGGGAAGGAACAUAGUGGGAGGAUGUUUAACUAUUCCUGCAUCAUUUCUCCAGUUUAAAUUGUUCCACGUGGGAAAACAUACAGGCAUCAUACUGGACUUUAGAAGUCAUCUGUGCGAAAACCCUCCUUUCAUUAUGAAUCAUAAUUCUAAAUUUGUAGCCAGAACUAUAGGUAAAGCAGUUUCUUCCAGAAGGGAGAAGCUUUGCUGUAGACCAGGCCUACUCAAUGUACCCACCCACCCCGUUUUUGAACUACAACUCCCAUAAUCCCCAGCCACAGUGGCCAAUAGCCAGGGAUUAUGGGGAAAGUAGGCCAACAUCUGCAGGAGGGCCGAAGUUGAGCAGCCCUGCUGCAGACCAAGAAAGCAAUAAAAAUAUUGUAUUCUCAGCGCCAGUCUAGAUGUGUUAAGAACAUGCCUUGCUUGACCAGGUGAGGCUUCAGGAAAGGCCUUGAGGAUCUGAAGGGUAGAGGUGACCUUCUUAAUGUGCAGACUUAAGUGUCCAGGGAGCCAGUGGAGUAGCAAGCUUGGAAGGGGCCUGUGUGCAAGAAUUGAACAUGGGCCCCAUCAGAUAAUUUCCCCAUAGGGAUCAAUGGGAAACUAAAAAAAAUCAAUAACUCUUAACAAUUAUCAGCAUUCUCUCCAAACUCGAACUCCCAGGAUAGGACUGGUAUUAAACAUGUAUGUGUUUGUUGUAGUGUAGAUAGAUGCUCACCAGCUACAUUUGUCUCUAGUGCUUAAGGAUGACACUUUGCCCCCACCUCUGCAGGUGGCAAUUCUGACAUUGCCUGUGGCUGUUGAGCAUCAUAACAGUUGAGCAUCUGUUAUGAUGAUCUCAUUAUCUCCUUGGUGAUAGCUAAAGCUCUGUCACCAAGCUUUAACCAUCCAGGUGUGGAAGAUGCAUGAAGAGAAGCAGCAUCUCACAGGGGCAGCUUGGCUCUCCUCCUUGUAUCUCAAAAAUAGGUGGGAUAAUCAUGGCAAACUUGUGCUCCUUUUAACUAUACAAAUGAGUGGUAAAGGCUGCCAGGUAAGAAGUAUCUUUUUGUUAUUUUCUCAGAAGCCAUACAGGCUCUAUUCAGGGUGAUCAUACUUUGUUUUAAAAAUGACUGAUCUGAUGGUAUUCCAACCAGGGUAGGUGUGGGUUGUUUGUUCUGUUUUCUAUAAAUUGCAUAGAUAAACAUUUACCAUUCUUUAAUAGCAAAUUAUAUGUGUAGUUUAUACUUUUUCCAAAAUUCAAAUGAUCCAGGUCACCUCUGGGGGGCAAAAGUUUUGGCAUAGAAAUGUAGCUAUUGGUGAUGAGUCUGGGUUUAAAAUUGAAACCUGGAAAGGUUUUUUAAAAAUAAUAGAUUCUGCCAAGUUUAAGAAAAUAAACUCAUAAAAAUUGUGAUGCAAGGCAAGGAACAUAACUUGUUGCACUGUUUCAGAAAAAGGGAAGCGAAAAACAUCACUAACACAUAGCUAAGUGCUUUAUUGCUUUAAAAAGUAGCCUUUUGGUUUCUUUUCUAUACAAUGAGAAGUAACACCAUCAUAAUGUACUUUUAUUAGCAGGAAAUGAAAUGCAUUAUUUUCAAUCAGUUUAAGAAAGCAAAGAACUCAUACAAAAAGUCCUAUGAUACACAUUGAUGCACUGUUCAGAGAUCAUAGGUGGUCACCACCAUCAUGGAGAUUGAAAGGUAAUUUUCCAGUUUACACGGAACUACAAACUAUCUGUUCUCUCAAGAAAAAAAGAGAUACUUCACCAAUGGAGGUGUGCCCGGCCAGCCGGUAGAGUGCUGAGAGAAGCCAGGGGCUCCAGACGCAAGAGGCUGCAGAUUGAUGGACAGGGACUAGCCAGGAAAGCAGCUCCACAGCUGCAAGCAGCUGGAGGAAUGAUAAGGCAGGAGACGGAGUUGGGGAAUGAGCCCCUGUGGAGGCCAGGGACUGGGUGUCCAGGACACGUGCCUGGCCAGGGAAGAUGGAGCUGGCCGAAAGCAGGGAGGAGUGUCCAACAUGCAGGGAUUUAAUUAAGGCAGAGGCUGCCGAGGACGAGCAGAUCAGUCGGGACAGGGUUUGUGAGCCUGACAGUCUCCCGGAGAGGGGCUCAGGCUUUUGGCUUCCACUGAUAGGGGAAGGCGGGGAGUGAAUAAACUUCCUCCCUUCCCCAACUCUGAGGCAACGCCCAUGCCUAUAAUUCACUGCAGGAGAGCAGAAAGGGCACUUUGGAGAAUUCCUCCUCCCAAAAGCUGGACAAAUGCAUAAUACAAUUUGUAUUUACUGUAUUUAUUUACUUACUGUACUUACUAAUUUACUAUGUGUGGAUGAUCACUCCAUAUUUAUUUUAUGAAACCUUUUAACACAUGUGGAAGGAUCUAGACAGUUACUCAAGAACAGAAAAUGUUCCAGAGGAAACAAACGAUGUAACUACAGUUACUACAGAAGUAGGAUUAUCCUUGGCUUAAGGAGCAGUUGUCUCAAAACUCUUGACUAGUAGGAGAACUGAUGUAAAUAAACCAUCCACCAAAUCCAAUCCCUGCCACCAUCCUGCAUUCAAAUUACACAAAUCCCAAGAUUUCUGCAGUAGAAUAAAUUUACAAAAUUAAGUUAUAUGAAACAAAUAUGAACUUUCUGUUCAAGCUGCAAAAACAGAGGCACCUGAGCUGUUGCAUUUGUCUUUGGUAGGAUAGGUUAGUUACAGCACCUGUCUGACUUUUGUCAUACACCGGAUCUUUAUGUGCAUUGUCCAUUUAUUCCAUUCUGAAAGUUCCUGUGCCAUUAAUCAAUCUACUUGUUAAUAUGAUAUUAGUAAUAAAUAAAGUAUUUUCAUCAGCUGAC